rnacentral:rRNA from 1 species
AUGAGCCAAGAUUGGUAGCCUUUAAGCUACUACUGAUUUUAAACUGAAGAGUUUGAUCAUGGCUCAGAUUG